rnacentral:misc_RNA from 1 species
CACGGCAUUUCAGGCCACUCCACCCCACCACACCACCGCGCACACACAUACAGGCAUACGCGAAGACGCCGACCCACCCGCUCACUGGUGAUGGCACAUCCAAGCGUCCCCCCGUGGCCGCCAUGCCUGUGUGUGUACCUGUGUACGUGUGUGAUUCGUGCACGCAUCUACGGCGCAGUCUCUCUUUGUCUAUUCGUCCAUCUUUGGGUCUCCUCGAUGUGCGUGACCUGAAGCACAGGCACACGCGCACGCACGCACACGCACGACGAUGCACCCACCGCAAUAUGUGAAAACGUGUUGCCGGCGAUGAGCAAGUAGGGCGAAGCGAACAACAAGAGGCGGCUUUCCUCGGCGCGCGCGGGUGCAUGCAAAGGACGGCUGAGACAGGAAGAGUGGACGCCACGCUGCCCGUCGCCGCCAUCGCUGGUGGAAACUCAAUUUUUUUAGAUUUAUCCCCCCCCCCUCCAGAUGGCCGUGAGCCGCACGUUUGGUUUGCUGUUGUGCAUCUCUUCUUCUCCCGCCACCACUUCCACAGCGAGUGCGCAGCCGCCUGACUCUCCCACGCUCUUGCACACAUGGCGCAUACGUGUGCGCACACCUCGAGCGCGCAGCAACUCGAAGCGCCUUCUUCACGAAUUCAGCUCUCUCACCCAUUCCCUCCCUUUUCCGCCUUGCUCUAAACACACAACACACACGUCAUACAAUGUAG